rnacentral:rRNA from 1 species
AAUUUUGUGAUAUGUAUCAACUUACCGUUGAAUAAAAUUCUGGGUAGAUGAUUGAUGAUGACAAAUAUCUAUUCACAUAUCUUGACCAAUGUUUGUGCCUGCUAUCGCGGCAACACAAGUAAGAUUAGUGUUAUUCAUCUUUAUUAGGUUUAAAGGGUACCUAGACGGCAAAAGCAACUUCUAAAAAGUAUAUCUUUGCUAGAGUUUUAUGUGAGAGGAAAAUAUUAGGACUAUUGGUGUAGGGAUGAAAUCCCUUGAUACUAAUAGAAUGNGUAACGGCGAAGACAACCCUCUAUGUAUAAACUGACGUUGAGGGACGAAGGCUUGGGGAGCAAACAGGAUUAGAUACCCUAGUAGUCCAGGCAGAAAAUCAUGAAUGUUAUAGGUUAGAUUAUAAAUUGGCGUAUAAAUGAAAGUGUAAGCAUUCCACCUCAAGAGUAAGGCGGC